rnacentral:rRNA from 1 species
AAAUUGAAGAGUUUGAUCAUGGCUCAGAUUGAACGCUGGCGGCAGGCCUAACACAUGCAAGUCGAACGGUAACAGGAAGCAGCUUGCUGCUUUGCUGACGAGUGGCGGACGGGUGAGUAAUGUCUGGGAAACUGCCCGAUGGAGGGGGAUAACUACUGGAAACGGUAGCUAAUACCGCAUAAUGUCGCAAGACCAAAGAGGGGGACCUUCGGGCCUCUUGCCAUCGGAUGUGCCCAGAUGGGAUUAGCUUGUUGGUGAGG